rnacentral:tRNA from 2 species
UGCCCCAUGGCCAAGCUGGUUAAGGCAUCCGACUGUUAAUCGGAAGAUCGACGGUUCGAUCCCGUCUGGGGCAG